UACGUAGGGUGCGAGCGUUGUCCGGAAUUAUUGGGCGUAAAGGGCUCGUAGGCGGUUUGUCGCGUCGGGAGUGAAAACUCAGGGCUUAACCCUGAGCCUGCUUCCGAUACGGGCAGACUAGAGGUAUGCAGGGGGAGAAUGGAAUUCCUGGUGUAGCGGUGAAAUGCGCAGAUAUCAGGAGGAACACCGGUGGCGAAGGCGGUUCUCUGGGCAUUACCUGACGCUGAGGAGCGAAAGUGUGGGGAGCGAACAGG
rnacentral:rRNA from 1 species